rnacentral:rRNA from 1 species
GAUUCCCUUAGUAACGGCGAGCGAACAGGGAUCGAGCCCAGCGCCAAGUCCUGACAUUUGACAAUGUUUGGGAGAUGCGGCGUUUAUGUGCUGGUGCAUCGCGCUUGUUGCGUGUCUCAAAUGCUCUGGAACGAGAUGCCGCAGUGGGUGAUAGCCCCAUAGAGACGUGCAGCUUGUGUGCCGACCAGUGCACUUUUAGAGUCAGGUUGCUUGAGAGUGCAGCCUAAAGCAGGUGGUAAACUCCAUCUAAGGCUAAAUAUUACAGCAAGACCGAUAGCAAACAAGUACCGUGAGGGAAAGUUGCAAAGAACUUUGAAGAGAGAGUUAAAAAGGACGUGAAACCACUGGCAGGUAAACGGGUGGAACCACGAAGUGUGCCCGCCCAACCAAUUCAAUCAAAGCCGUACGCUGGCUGUGCUCGAGUUGUGCCUUUGCGGAGGUUGCUCGCAGUGCCGUUUGUAGUGUGCGGCGUUGGUGCAUUUUGUGUUGGCGGUGCUAAUGCCACGUCCGACUAGGUGGUUGGGAUGGCCGUAGUGUAGGCACCAAGGAAGGUGGCAGUCGCAAGCGCUUUGUUUGUGGCUGUGUUAUAGCCUUGAGCCUAUGCCAUCGCCUAACGUGCUGGUCGGUAGAUUGAUUCCACYUUGGAAUGAUGCUUGUAGAGGUUGUCUGUGCUGCAGGCGUCGCGGUCGCUACAUCCGGUUGGACAUUUGCGUGUCUCUGGCGCGUAAAGACGACUGUUAUGGCUGCGAUCUAGGCGUUUGUUGUAUGACUGGCAGCUGAACAAACGGUGGCACGAGUAGGUCGGUCUCCACCCGACCCGUCUUGAAACACGGACCAAGGAGCCUAUCAUGUACGCGAGUCGCUCAGUCUUGCUUAGGCUUGUGAGGCGCAAUGAAAGUAAUUGUUACGAGGUUCGCGCUUGCGUGCCGCAGUAACAGCCCGCCGGCUUUGUUUAAUUGGCAAUAUGGCGGAGUUGGAGCGUACACGAUGGUACCCGAAAGAUGGUGAACUAUGCCUGGGCAGGACGAAGCCAGAGGAAACUCUGGUGGAGGUUCGCAGCGGUUCUGACGUGCAAAUCGAUCGUCAGACCUGGGUAUAGGGGCGAAAGACUAAUCGAACCAUCUAGUAGCUGGUUCCAUCCGAAGUUUCCCUCAGGAUAGCAGGCGCUUGCUUUGUCACAGUCUCAUCCGGUAAAGCUAAUGAUUAGAGGUCUUGGGGACGAAACGUUCUCAACCUAUUCUCAAACUUUAAAUGGGUGAGAUGCCUGACUUGCUUAACAUAUUUGUAUGUGAAGCCAGGCAAUUGGAUGUAUGAGUGCCUAGUGGGCCAGCUUUGGUAAGCAGAACUGGCGCUGUGGGAUGAACCAAACGUCGAGUUAAGGCAUCAAAUGCGCACGCUCAUGAGAUCCCAGAAAAGGUGUUGGUUGCUAUAGACAGCAGGACGGUGGCCAUGGAAGUCGGAAUCC